rnacentral:rRNA from 1 species
GACGAACGCUGGCGGCGUGCUUAACACAUCCAAGUCGAACGGAAAGGCCCUGCUUUUGUUGGGUGCUCGAGUGGCGAACGGGUGAGUAACACGUGAGUAACCUGCCCUUGACUUUGGGAUAACUUCAGGAAACUGGGGCUAAUACCGGAUAGGAGCUCCUGCUGCAUGGUGGGGGUUGGAAAGUUUCGGCGGGUGGGGAUGGACUCGCGGCUUAUCAGCUUGUUAGUGGGGUAGUGGCUUACCAAGGCUUUGACGGGUAGCCGGCCUGAGAGGGUGACCGGCCACAUUGGGACUGAGAUACGGCCCAGACUCCUACGGGAGGCAGCAGUGGGGAAUAUUGCACAAUGGGCGGAAGCCUGAUGCAGCAACGCCGCGUGCGGGAUGACGGCCUUCGGGUUGUAAACCGCUUUCGCCUGUGACGAAGCGUGAGUGACGGUAAUGGGUAAAGAAGCACCGGCUAACUACGUG